AUUUAGCCAGCUCAGUGGUUAAGAUGUUAGACUACUGAUCAGAAGGUUGUGAGUUCAAAUCCCAGCGCUGCCAAUG